UUUUUUUUAAAAUUAAUUCAGUUAUUUAAUUUUGGCUGCGUUGGGUCUUUGUUGCUGCAUGUGGGCUUUGUCUAGUUGCGGCAAGUGGGGUCUACUCUUCGUUGUGUUGAUCAGGCUUCUCAUUGUGGUGGCUUUUCUUGUGUGGAGCACGGGCUCUAGGCACGUGGGCUUCAGUAGUUGUGGCUCUUGGGCUCUAGAGCGGAGGCUUAGUAGUUGUGGCGCACGGGCUUAGUUGUUCUGUGGCUUGCGAGAUCUUCCCGGACCAGGGCUCGAACCCGUGUCCCCCUGCAUUGGCAUGUUGAUUCCUAACCACUGCCCCACCCGGGAAGUCCCACAAAUGGUAUCUUUAAACACAUUUGUUGAAUGUGUUUUUCAGGUUCCUGUCACGAGAUCCCUGUGAACCUAACAGUGGUUGCUAACAGAACCUUGCUUUCAACCAGGUAAGGGAUAAAGUGGAUCCUACUACAAUGAAGACCAUCUGAUCUUCAAUAUGAAGGUAAGUAAGUAUGGUGUCCCAAACAUUUGUGUUACCAUGUUUGUUUGCAGUAUCCUGUCAAGGUCUUUACUAGUAUACAAGUAUGAGAUGUUGUGAUGUUAACUCAUUAAAGACAUUCUGAUUUUUAGAUAUCUAUGUAAUUAAUUUUUGAGACUCUUAUAUUUACCUUGUUGUUGGCAUGUGUGUAGUUAAGAAAUUAAUUUGACCCUUAUUAUAUUAGUACAAAUGAGAUUUUUUUGUAUUCUGUUUAGAGAUGACAUGUAUUUAAUACUUGUAGUGAUGAACAGAUAUGCAGGUGAUCCAGGUAAUUUAUCAUAUUGCCAUCAUUGAGUUACUGACCUUGGGAAUUUUUUCAGGUAUCCCUUCAUGAGAAGAUGGUGUUUCUUCUCAGGAAUUGACCUUGAACUCCUGCGACUAGCCAGGUAGUGUGGAUGGGUACCACAAUGGUACAAGUGACCAAGGAAAUUUACAGCUUUAGAGGUAGGAUGAUUUAUGUGCCCCAAACAUAUUCCACACUGUGUUUUUCAGAUUCAUGUCAAGACAUCCUGGGUGAGCCUAUUAAUGGUAGUUAUUGUGGGUCAUUGCUGGUAUGGAGAUAGGUGCUGGUGUGGGGCUACACCACAGCACAUUCCAUCUGACCUUCAUAUACCUAAGUAAGUAAUGCUGUGUCUUCGUAUGUCUUGUUACCAUGAUUUUUGAAGGUAUUGAGGUAGGGAAUGAUAGUCUUUACCUCUUCUAGAUAUCAUGCGUUUUCAUUUGUUCUGUUUUUGGAAAUGUUCACUUUUACCCGUGUGAAUGCUGAGGUAUUAUGUGAAUACAGGUAUUUAUCAUGGCGUUCCCCAUCACAGUACUAGUCAUAGGAUUUGUACAGGUGUCCAGUCAAAGAAGGACAUUUUAUCUGAUGUUGGUGUUGACCUUGGAUUGCUGCAAGUAUGCGGGUAGAUGGAUGUGUCUCCUAAUGAUGAAGUGACCACCAUUAUUUGUGGGUGUCGUGGUAGAAAACGUUGUGUCCUUUAACAGGCAUUUCAUAUUAUCUUUCUAGGUUUGCGUGAAGAGAUCAUGAUUAAACUAACAAUGCUCAUUAAUGGUGGAUGUUGCUUGUAUACAGGUAGGUGACGAUAUGGACUAAACCAGAUAUGGAGUAAACCAGAGCACAGGUCAUUUGAUAUUUACAUAGCUGGGUAAGUUAUGAUAGUUUCCCUAACAAUUGCUGUUACCAUUUUUCUUUGCAGGUAUUCAGGUAGGAAAUGAUUGUUCUUACCAAUUCUAGAAACCAUGAGUUUUCAUUUAUCUUACUUUAGAGAAAAUUUUUAAUGAGCCAUGUGAGUGAUGAGCACUUGCCAUAUUCGGGUGAUUGUCAUGAUGCUCGUAACCAUGAGACUUUGCAGGUGCCCCAUGAUGAAAUGCUGUCAUAUUUGACAAUGCCCUCGACCUUGGCGUACUACAAGUAUUCAGGCAGAGUUGAUAUUCUCAUGGUGAAGGAAAUGUCUAAGGUCGUUUGAAGGUGUCCUGCUACGAGUUCUGUCCUUUUGAACCUGUAACAUGUGUUUUUCAGGUUCCCAUCAAGAGAUCAAGAUGAAGUGAACGGUUGUUAUAGGGGGUCCUUUCUGGUGUCCAGGUAAGUGAUGAUGUGCACCUUCGCCACAUCAGAGCAUCCUGCGUUCACAUCUCUAGGUAAGCGGUGUUGAUUGGCUAAACUUGUUUUCUCAUGUGAUUCAUUUCAGGUCUUCAGGUAAGAAAUAAUAGUGUUUUAUCAAUCCUAGCAGUCAUAUUAUCCUACUGUUUUAUAUUUUUGAGAAUUUAAUUUGAACCCUGUGAGUGUUGAGCGAUUCCCGGGUAUGAACGCAAUGAUGACCGAGCGUGUGGCACGGUAGUGACCGUGGCGUUUCUGCAGGUGAGCAGGGAAAAGAGGAUGGAGUUUCUAACAGUGGCAUAGACCUUGGAGGACUGCAUGAACCCAGGGAGAGCUGAUGGCAGGUCCUGCACGGAAGGCAGUGAAUGAGGUUAUCUGUAGGGUCCUAGUAGAAAAGGCGUGUCCAUAGACAUAUUUUACAGUGUGAUUUUCAGGUUCCUGCAAAGACAUCCUGGUAGAGAUCAUAAUGAUCGAUAACAUGCCUUGAUUGUAUUGAGGUAAGUGAUGACGUGGGCCUUUAGCCCACUUCAAACCAUCUGAUCUUCAGAUAUGUGGGAAAGUGUGGAUGGUGUUCCUAGUUUUUCUGUUCCUGUGUUUUUAUGCAGGUAUGCAAUUAAGAAAUUAUGUUUCCCAAUCAGUGAUAGUAGCAUUAGCCACUUUUUUUAGAGUGUACAUAUAAUGUGUGCUUAACCUCAGUUGUGACAGAGGCAUCUGCAGGUGGCAGCUAAGUUAUCCUGGUUUGGAUUCACAGUAUUGACCAUGAGAUUCCUUCAGGUGCUCAGAGAAAUAUGUCUCUAGCACUGAUGUUGACAUUGAAGUUCUGAAAGGUUCAGAUAGGGUUGAUGGUUCCCUGAAUGAUGUAAGUGACUAAGAUUAUUUGCUGGUGCUGUUUUUUCUUGCAUUUAUUUGUUUGGUUUUGUUGUUUUCUUUGGGUUUUUUCUUUUUCGUGUCAAAUAAGUGUUGUCCUUCAGUCCUUAAACACACUUGACAUGUAUGAUUUUACAUGUUCCAGCAGUUCUGAAACCACAGUGGACGUAACAGUGCUCAUGAAUGGGACCUUGCUAGUUGACAGGUAUUUGAUAAAGUGGAUUUUACCCCAGUACAGGUCAUUUGACCUCAGACACCUAGGUAAGUGAGCAUGCGGUCCCUUCACACAGUGUUACCAUGGUUUUCUGCAGGGAUCCUGUUAAGGUCUUUGAUGGUGAACAGGUAUGAGAUGACGUGACAAUAACUCAGAGACAUUCCCAAUAUCAGUAUUUACAAAAUUAAUGUUUUUGAGACUCUUAAAUUUACCUAGUUUUUGUCAUAUAUGUGGUUGCGAAGUUAAUAUGUCCCUAAUAAUACUCGUAAGAUUUUUAUGUUCUUCUUUAGAGGUAACAUGUACUUAACUACUGCUGAAAGAUGCAUGUGCAGGGAUUCUUGUAAUUUAUCAUGUUGGCAUCACAGCAUUACUAGCUCAGGGAUUAUUGCAGGGAGCCCUUCUGAGAAGAAGGCGUCUCUUCCUGGGGUUUGACCCCAGUGUCUGCAGGCAAGUGUCCAGGUAGUGUUGAUGGGUACCAAAAUCAUACCAGAAGUGACCAAGGGAGUCUGGGGGUGUAGAGGUAGAAUGACAUGUGUACCAAAUACAUUUACUGCAAUUUGUUUUGCAGAUUCAGGAUAACACAUCACAGUAAGUGCAUCAGUGGUAGUGAACGUUGCAGCGUGUUGCUGUGGAGGUAAGGGAUGAUGUGGGUAUAAACCACAACACAGACGAUCAACAUUCACAUAUCUAGGUAAUGCUGAUGUGUCUUCACGCUUCUUGUUAUCAUGACUUUUUUUGCAGGUAUUCAGGUAAGAAAUUGUAGACACCUUACAAAUCUAGCAACCAUGUUAUCCUAUAGUUUUAUAUUUUAGAAAACUUGAUAUUUAACCAUCUGAUUGUUGAGUGACAGAUAUCCAUGUAAUCCUCAUAGAGCUACAAGUACUAACCAAGGUUCCAUGCAGGUGUAAAUGCAGGAGAUAAUGGUCUGUGUAACAGUGGCCUAGGCCUUGGAGUAUAGCAAGAUUCCAAGUAGAUUUGCUGAGUCCUGCAGUGAUGGUCAUGACAGGGUUAUCUUCAGGGUCCAGGUAGUAAAUAAACUUGUGUCCAUAGGCACAUUUGUCACAAUGUGUUUUCCAGGUUCCUGUGUAGGGAUCAUGGUGAACUUCUUAAUGAUCAUUAAAGGGACAUGGCUUUUAUCCAAGUAAGUGAUAGUGUGGGCCUUUUGCAGGCGACAGGCCAUGUGAUCUUCAGAUAUCUGGGUAAAUGAAUAUGAUUUCCCUAACACAGUGUUACCCUGUCGUUUUGCAAGUGUUCUCUUAAGUCCUUUCCUAAUAUGCAGGUAUUAGGUUAUGUGACUUUAGCUCAUUAGAAAGCUUCUUAUUUUCAUAUGUGUGAAUGGUGGUGCUUUCAAGACUGUACUUUAAGUGUGGCUUUGGCACGUAUGCAGUUCAGAAAUUAAAUUCACCCCAACAAUACCAGUAAGCAGGAUAUUUGACUGUAUUCUUGUUUAGGGGUUAUGGGUUUUUUUUUUUUUUUUUGCGGUACGCGGGCCUCUCACUGUUGUGGCCUCUCCCGUUGCGGAGCACAGGCUCUGGACGCACAGGCUCAGAACCAUGGCUCACGGGCCCAGCCGCUCUGCGGCAUGUGGGAUCCUCCCGGACCGGGGCACAAACCCAUGUCCCCUGCAUCGGCAGGCGGACUCUCAACCACUGUGCCACCAGGGAAGUCUGGGGUUAUGGGUUUUAUAUACACAGAGUGCUAGAUGGAUCAGUGGAUGUCCAGGUGGUUUCUCAUACUGCCCAUCAGUGGUAGUUAUUCACCCUGGGAUUUUUCCCGGCCUCCCUUCAAGAGAGGAAAGUAUCUCUUAUUAACGUUUAAUCUCGGAUAUCCAGUUAUCCAUGGAAGGCUGAUGUGUCUUGAUAUGAUAGAAUUGAACAAGGAAUUUGCGGGUGUCCCAGUGGAAUAAGAUGUAUACCAAACACAAUUUACACAAUUUUUUCAGCUUCAUGUAAAGACAUCACAGUGAAUCUAUCAACAGCAGGUAACAAGGCACAUAGCAGGUAUUGAGGUAAGUGAUAAUUUGGGCCUAAACCACAGCCGAUCAUGUGAUCUUCACACAUAUGAGUAAGUGAUGAUGGUGUCCCUAAUACUUGUGCUCCCCUAUUUUUUUUUUUGCAGGUAUUCUGUUCAGGUCUUUGGUGGUACAUAGGUAUGAGAUGUGACAUGAACUUAUUAGAGGGCUGCUUAUUUUCAGAUAUCUAUGUAAUUAUCUGAUAUUUACCUUGUUUUUUGGCAAGUAUAAGCUAAAUUAAUUUGUCCCUAGUAAUACUAGCAAGUGGUAAUUUUUACUGUAUUCUUGUACAGAGAUAACGUGUAUUUCUCACUUGUAGUGGUAGACAGAUUGCAAGCAUCCAGGUAGUUUGUCAUAUUGUUCUAACUGCGUCAUUAACCAUGGGAUAUUUGCAAGUAGCUGUUCAUGGGAGGAAGGUGUGUGUUACUAGGGUUUGACCUCAGAGUUCUCCAAGUAUCCAAGUAAUGUUGAAUGGUCCCAAAGUGAUACAGAUGAUGAGGGAAUUUGCAGGUGCACAGGUAGAACGAGACACUGUACCAAGCACAUUUUUCACACUGUGUUUUUCAGGGCUUGUCAAGAGAUCAGGCCGCAAGCCUCUCUAUGGCAGUUGAUGGCGGGACAUCGCUGGUGUUGAGAUAAGUGAUGGCGUGGGCCUAAACCAUCCAGUCUUCCUGUAUGUAGGUAAGUGAUGAAGGGUGUCAGUGCUGCUUGUCACCGUGACUUUGUUGCAGGUGUUCAGGUAAGAAAUGAACAGGUAGUCUUUAGCAAAUCUAGAGACUAUGAGUUUUCACUUUUUAUAUGUUAGGGAAAAUUUAUGUUUAACACUAGGAAUGCUCAAGGGUUACAGGUAUACAGGUGUUUAUCAUGAUUUUCCCCACCACAGUACUACCCAUAGGAUUUGUACAGGUGUCCAGUCAAGAAAUGACAGUUUUCCAACCUUGGCGUUGACCUUGGAUUACUGUAAGUAUCCAGGUAAAGUUGAUAUAUCUCCUAACGAUUAAGUGACCAAGAUUAUUUGCAGGUGUCCUGGUAGAAAAAACUGUGCCCCUAACAAAUGUUUCAAAACAUGUCUUUCAGAUUUCCUUCAAGAGAUCACAAUGAACUAACAUUGGUCGUGGAUGGGGGACAUGGCUGGGAUGCAGGUAAGUGACGGUAUGGGCCUCAACCACAGCACAGGCUUUCUGAUCUCCAGGUAGCCAGGUAAGUGAUGAUGAUAUCCCUCACGCUUGUUACCAUGAUUUCCUUGCAGGCGUUCAGAUAGGAAAUGAUGGAUCCCUUACCAGUUCUAGAAACCAGGAGUUUUCAUUUAUUAUAUUUUAAAGAAACUUUUUGUCUUUCUCUGUGAAUGUUGAGUAAUUUCACAUAACCAUGUAAUUAGCAUGAUGGCCGCAGCCAUGGUAGUGACCAUGGAAAUUUUGCCUGUGUUCCCUUAAGAAAUGUCAGCUUACCUGAGAAUAUUCCUAACUUGGCUUACUGCCAGUAUUCAGUUAGAGCUGAUGUUCUCAUAAUGAUGAAAGUAGUGAACGUUCUUUGCAGGUGUCAUGUUAGAACAAGUUGUGUCCUUUUACACAUAUAUCAUAAUACCUUUUUCAGGUUCAUGUCAAGAGAUUGUGGUGAACAUGACAAUGGUUGUUUUCAGAGACAUUUCUGUUAUCCAGGUAAGUGAUGAUAGGCACUUUCACCCCAUCAGAGACCGUCCAGUCUUCAUAUGCUUAAGUAAGUGAUAUUUGUUCCUGUUUUGCCAGGGCAUUUUGGGGGUUAGGUUUUCAGGUAAGAAUUGAUAGUGUCUCACCAAUUCUGGAAACCAUGUUAUCCUCCUGUUUUAUAUUUUAUAAAAAAUUUAUGUUUGUGUAAUUGUUGAGAGACUUGCAGAUAUCCAGGUAAUUCUCAUAUAGCUGCGUGUCACAGUAGUAAUCGUGGUUUUCUCUUGCAGGUGAGCAUCCAAGAGGUAAUGCUGUGCCUAGCAAUGGCCUAGACCUUGGAGUUACUGCAAGAUUCCAGAGCACAGGCUCCAGACGCGCAGGCUCAGCAGCCAUGGCUCACGGGCCCAGCCACUCUGCGGCAUGUGGGAUCUUCCCAGACCGGGGCACAAACCCGUGUCCCCUGCAUCGGCAGGCAGACUCUCAACCACUGCGCCACCAGGGAAGCCUGGGCCUCAUAAAUUUGAUGGAAUUUUCCUGGGGAUUCAGGAGAAGCCAUAUCAGGAGAAGAUCAGACGCCCAGUCAAACCCUGCCUGAAGCAAAGCACUGUACCCCUCACCUAGCCACCCUGCAGAUCCAAAAGUGAGCAAUAAAGGCUUGUAGUUGUACAUCAUUGAGAUUUGGGUGAUUUCUUAGGCAGUAUUACUUUGGCAAGAGCUGACUGAUACAUAUCAUGUUGCCAACAGAAGGAGUAAUUGAUGCUGCCUGAGGGAGAUGGUAAAGACUUCAUGGAGGAAGUAACAAUUAAGCAGAUUAUUCUUUUUUGCGGUACGCAGACCUCUCACUGCUGUGGCCUCUCCUGUUGCGGAGCACAGGCUCCGGAUGCGCAGGCUCAGCGGCCAUGGCUCACGGGCCCAGCCGCUCCGGGCAUGUGGGAUCUUCCCAGACCGGGGCACGAACCCGUGUCCCCUGCAUCAGCAGGCGGACUCUCAACCACUGCGCCACCAGGGAAGCCCCAG